AUCCUUCAUUUUCACCUCGGAAAAACGAUGUUGAGGAUCAAGAGUUUCUAGGACCUGUACAAGGGGUUGAAAAAAUUCGUCAAAUAACCCAUCCUAGAAGAAACUUUUGCCCAAUAGGUUUAGCUCCUUACGAAUGCGACGUGUCUAUUUGUAAAGACGUCACUUGUCCCAAACACGAAUAUUUUGAAUGCCAUAUUUACAAUUGCGGUGGCUGCUUCAAAAUAUUCAAGGACAUUUUGGGUUAUCAGGUGGAUUGUUAAAAAAAGAUUUGAAAACAAAGUUAUAUCAACAUAAAAUUUAUCAAGAAAAUACUCAAAACAAAAUUAGCGAAAAACUCUCCAAAAAAAGUGUUCCUUGUUAAACUAAAU